UGGGGAAUAUUGCACAAUGGGCGCAAGCCUGAUGCAGCCAUGCCGCGUGUGUGAAGAAGGCCUUCGGGUUGUAAAGCACUUUCAGCGAGGAGGAAGGUGGUGAACUUAAUACGUUCAUCAAUUGACGUUACUCGCAGAAGAAGCACCGGCUAACUCCGUGCCAGCAGCCGCGGUAAUACGGAGGGUGCAAGCGUUAAUCGGAAUUACUGGGCGUAAAGCGCACGCAGGCGGUUUGUUAAGUCAGAUGUGAAAUCCCCGGGCUCAACCUGGGAACUGCAUUUGAAACUGGCAAGCUAGAGUCUCGUAGAGGGGGGUAGAAUUCCAGGUGUAGCGGUGAAAUGCGUAGAGAUCUGGAGGAAUACCGGUGGCGAAGGCGGCCCCCUGGACGAAGACUGACGCUCAGGUGCGAAAGCGUGGGGCAGCAAACAGGAUUAGAUACCCUGGUAGUCCACGCUGUAAAACGAUGUCGAUUUGGAGGUUGUGCCCUUGAGGCGUGGCUUCCGGAGCUAACGCGUUAAAUCGACCGCCUGGGGAGUACGGCCGCAAGGUUAAAACUUAAAUGAAUUGCGGGUC
rnacentral:rRNA from 1 species